ACACCUAUUAUAGGCGUUCUUUAAGUAAUAAUUUAAAAAAAGUAAUAACUUAAUUAUUUGCUUAUAAAUAUAUAUCUUUAUUUUUCCUCUUUCUUUUUUGUAUAUAGGACAUGGUAAACAAAAAAUGUUAUCUUAACUUCUUAUUUUAGGCAUUUAUUUAAGUCUACUCUUUUUAUUCAAUUUCUAAAAGUAUGAAAAAGGAAUUAUGUUCGCUAUUUUUACUUUUGUUUAAAGUUGAUUUAGAUUUUCGACAAACAUUUUUCAACUUUUUAAUAUUUUAUCAUCGAUAUCUAGGAAAUAUUUUUUACUAUUCUAUAAAAAACGAGCGAUAGUGAUCAUUAAUCUCCUAUCCUUUCUGAUUAAAUAACUUUCUGAAUAAAAGAUAUUGGUCCAUAAAUAAAUUAGUUACAAGAAGAACAUAAGCAAUAAGGUUUUGAUUUUAAGUGAGCCGGUGUUGUGUCAUCUGCCAUCCACGUAUCCUAAGACAUCCCAUCCUGAUCUGUGCAUGCGCGGAACCCAAUGUUUACAAACACAGUGUUGAUAUCGUAGUUUGUCCAGGCAAGAUGGUGGCAAGACAGCAUGGAAGCUUUUAUGGGAAAAUGGCCAAAUUCAAGAAUGACAUGGCCCCAUAAUUCAGAUACCCUACCAAUAAAUGGAGAGAAUCUGAGAAACAUGACCAUCAAUCAGAAGAGAGUGUAGGUUAUCUCAUUUAUCACAUAUACUGACAUACAAGGGGUGUAGGUUAUCUCAUUUACCGACAUACAAGGGGUGUAGGUUAUCUCAUUUAUCACAUUUACCGACAUACAAGGGGUGCAGGUUAUCUCAUUUAUCACAUUUACUGACAUACAAGGUUUCAGGUUACCUCAUUUAUUACAUUUACCAACAUACAAGGGAUUUAGGUUAUCUCAUUUUUCACAUUUACUGACAUACAAGGGUAGGUGAUGGCUGAGUGAUUAGCGUGCGGGGCCAGCAUUCAUCACGCCAUGUGCCAUGAACAAUGUCGAUUCGAAUCCCCACGCUACCACCUGGGAUUUUUUAGUCACCGUCGAGUGGCUUAAGACUAUCCACAGGCUGUCCAGAAGACCAUCUAUCAUCCCGGAUUCUAGAAGAAACGUACAAGCGAAUCAAAAAUGAGUUCCAGGGGGCAGCAUGAGCCAAGCAUAACUAGCGCCACUAUAAAAAUUGCCUGCGCCAUGACGGGCUUGGGCUGACCACGAGGCCCCUGAAGAAAGCCUUCCGGCGCUAUAGGCUGAGAUGUAAACAAAAAAAAGUUACCACAUUUAUCACAUUUACCGACAUACAAGGGGUGUAGGGUACCUCAUUUAUCACAUUUACCGACAUUCACUGGGUGUAGGGCAUCUCAUUAAUCACAUUUACUGCAAUACAAGAGGUGCAGGUUACCUUAGUUAUCACAUUUACCGACUUAUAAGGGGUGUAGGUUAUCUUAUUGAUCACAUUUACCGACAUACAAGGGGUUCAGGUUAUCUCAUUUAUCACAUUUACCGACGUACAAGGGGUUCAGGUUAUCUCAUUUAUCACAUUUACCGACAUACAAGGGGUUCAGGUUAUCUCAUUUAUCACAUUUACCGACGUACAAGGGGUGUAGAUUAUCUCUUUUCUCACAUUUACCGACAUAUAAGGUGUGCAGAUUAUCUCAUUUAUCACAUUUACCGACAUACAAAGGAUUCAGGUUAUCUCAUUUAUCACAUUUACCGACGUACAAGGGGUUCAGGUUAUCUCAUUUAUCACAUUUACCGACAUACAAAGGGUUCAGGUUAUCUCAUUUAUCACAUUUACCGACAUAUAAGGUGUGCAGAUUAUCUCAUUUAUCACAUUUACCGACAUACAAAGGGUUCAGGUUAUCUCAUUUAUCACAUUUACCGACGUACAAGGGGUGUAGGUUAUCUCAUUUAUCACAUAUACCGACAUACAAUUAAGGGGUGUAGGUUAUCUCAUUUCUCACAUUUACCGACAUACAAAGGGUUCAGGUUAUCUCAUUUAUCACAUUUACCGACAUACAAGGGGAGCAGGUUAUCUCAUUUAUCACAUAUACCGACAUACAAUUAAGGGGUGUAGGUUAUCUCAUUUAUCACAUAUACCGACAUACAAUUAAGGGGUGCAGGUUAUCUCAUUUAUCACAUUUACCGACAUACAAGGGGUGUAGGUUAUCUCAUUUAUCACAUAUACCGACACACAAGGGGUGCAGGUUAUCUCAUUUAUCACAUAUACCGACAUACAAAGGGAGCAGGUUAUCUCAUUUAUCACAUAUACCGACAUACAAUUAAGGGGUUCAGGUUAUCUCAUUUAUCACAUAUACCGACAUACAAUUAAGGGGUGCAGGUUAUCUCAUUUAUCACAUAUACCGACAUACAAGGGGUGCAGGUUAUCUCAUUUAUCACAUAUACUGACAUACAAGGGGUGCAGGUUAUCUCAUUUAUCACAUAUAGCAACAUACAAGGGGUGCAGAUUAUCUCAUUUAUCACAUUUACCGACAAACAAGAGGUGCAGGUUAUCUCAUUUAUCACAUAUACUGACAUAUAAGGGGUGCAGGUUAUCUCAUUUAUCACAUAUACCGACAUACAAGGGGUGCAGAUUAUCUCAUUUAUCACAUUUACCGACAUACAAGAGGUGCAGGUUAUCUCAUUUAUUACAUUUACCGACAUACAAUGGGUGUAGGUUAUCUCAUUUAUCACAUAUACCGACAUACAAGGGGUGUAGGUUAUCUUAUUUAUCACAUUUACCGACAUACAAGGGGAGCAGAUUAUCUCAUUUACCGACAUACCUCAUUUACCUCAUUUACUGACAUACAAAGGGUGCAGGAAGAAACUUUCGUAUUUCAAGCAAUUUUCAAAUUCAAAACACGUCAACAUUUACUUUAAAAAAAUGAAAAAUAAAAACUCAGGUGGGACAUAUCGCGAUAGGCAGUCGAUAAAGACACGGUACCGUGUCGCAAUUCAUCCACCCUUUGUUUGUAAACAAAUCCCGCGCAUGCGCAGAUUGGAUGGGAUGCCUUAGGAUACGUGGAUGACAGAUGACACCACUCCGGGUAGGACACGUAGCAAUGGGUUUAAGUUGGAUAACUUCAGGUUCAACAAAGACAUAGGCAAGAAUUGGUUUACCAACAGUGGUGGAUGAGUGGAACAGACGUAGAAGUCUUGUGGUGAGCGCCAACAUGAUAGAUACAUUCAAGAAGAGGUUAGGUAAUUUCUUGGAUGAGAGGGGUAUGGGGCGUUAGUUUAAUGCCGUGGUCUGGGCGGCAUGAUGCGCUGUCUUACGAGACCUCCUUCCUCCGCUUCCUCUUGUUGCGGGGUGAGCCCGACGGGUGGGUGGGGGGAUCGAAGGAAGGCAAAGCCCUCCCCCCGGUUAAGAAGGUGGGGGGGUCGAGGCGGGGCGAAGCCCCCCCUUUUAGCUUAGGUCUUGUUGGUUUCUCGAAAAUGAACUGACGCUGCCGCCAUUAGAGGGUGGUAACACUGCAGCAGAAAAUGCAUAACUGACAACUGGGGCAGGCCACUCGGUUACUGGAGUGAGCGGAAGCCCACUACUGCAGUCCAGGAUCAAAGGACACAGGGUCUACCGGAGAGCGCGUCAAAUUUUGAAUCAACUGGCGCAUGACGUCAUCAGGUGGAAGGAUGGUGGGUUCAGCUAUGGUUUACGCCUCAGUAGCCAGCCGGAAGCGGUGGUGUACGGUUUGCUUGUUCUUGUCAAAUCACAAUGCCUUGCAGUUGUUAAGUAUCUGGCUGCAAGUCUGUAAGUAGGCUAUUUAACGCUCUAGAGAAAGCACCAUAGUCUGUCUAGGUCAGGGGUGUCCAAACUUUUUUUCACAGAGGGCCACAUGCGGAAAAUAUACGAAGAGUCGGGCCACUCAGUAUAUUUAUGGAUGGAGAUAGAUUUUAGAGUUUAUAGUUUUACAGGAACUACCACGUGUAGGUCAACUGGCCUCUUGCAGAUUCCUUAUUUUCUUAUGUAUGUAUUUUUUUUAAGGAAUGUAAGUAGAUAUAGGCAAGUGUACCUUUAAAGGAAUCGAUUUUCUAUAAUGUCUUAUUUUAUUUAUGUAUACAGGAUAAACUAUUGAAUCCUAUUGCUAGAGGAUCGAGUAGCAUCAUGCUCGUUAGAGAGGAUUUGAAUGUAAGCUUAUAGUUUUCAUUGUACGUAUUAUUAUUACACAGCAAGAUGUGAGCCGUUACAAAGGCAAUCCCACGCUUACUACUGUGAGCCAUAACAAAGGGACGUGCAGUCAUUAUUCUUAGAUUUAAUGUUUAGGCUCUCCCAUUGUGGCCAAAAAGGUAUUUAGCAUGUUUUGUAUUUUUAUACUGUGUCUAGAAUAUGCAUAUAUUGACAAUCAAAUGAAUUAUAGUGAGUAUAAGUAAUAAACAUUACCUAAAGAUGUGGUUAUGUAAUUUCUUUGUGUGUUAAAUUCACUACAGAAAACUAUAGAAGAUACGAUAUUUGUCAAUCAAAGACAAAGACAAUGAAAGCCUGUUUAGAUUCUAUUUACGUUACCGCUCGACGUAAAUACUUUCGAUUUUAUUUGCGUUAUCGUUUGACGUGAAUACUUCGUUUUCUAUUUCAUUUCUCCUCGCUCCAACUGCUGACGUCAUUUUCUGCGCGCUGGUUGACCCUGUGUCCUUUUAUCCUGCUGCAGCCCACACCACAUUGUCAUGGCGUCGUGUAACAAGUCCCGCCAAGUAAAUAAAGCGACUUUGCGCCUGUGCGUCUCGUUCACGAUACCUUACCUUUUUUUGUUGCCCUUGAGCUGUUUCUUUAGCUGUAAUAAAAAAAUAAAAUAAAACAAGGGCGGGGACAUGGGCUAUAUGGAGGUCGCUAACCAACCAAGUUGGUCUUUCGACGAGGACAGGCGCAUAGCUGGGCGUUAUCGCGAUACUUUAUCGCUGAUAACAAAAUCGGGUUAUCGGCUAUCCACUACUUAUUUAAGUAUAUAUCGGUAUCUUCGUUACUUUUGUAACCAAACCAGCGAUAAUUGCUACUUUUUUCCUACUCUCAGAAGAAAUAAAAAACGUUGUCAUCUCCCUACUGCGCAUGCGUGGCCCGGUUUUGUAUAAACAAUUAAACUUCAGGGUAUGAAAUAUCUUCGGUGAAGAGAUUUCAUACUUAGAUCAUCAACAUUAAAACACUAAGUUAUUUUUUUAUGUUACUCAAAAAUCAAUAUAUCAAAGAGAAAAAUCAUUUAACUUUGCCCCCCAAAAUUAUUAUUCACUGCCUCAAAUAUGAUAUUCCAUAUUCGUUUGUGAGCAUGCCAUGGUAUUGAAGGCACCCGGUGUUGUGUUAUUUGGUGUCCCAUCGUCAAAAGCUGGCGCUUUUGUUUACAAACACUGGUCUCUCGUGAACUGCGCAUCUUCAGACCAGUAAGCGUAGCUCUGUACAGUCUCACAAAGCUUUUUAACACAUUAAGAGUUGCUGGAAGGCUGAAUCAGACAUACAGUACCACCAUCCUCGCUGUUUCUAGAAUGACACUGUACAUAUAAAUACAACUCGUACAGUGUCGGUCUGGAAAUAGCGGGGAUGGUGGUAGUGGUACUGUAUGUCUGAUUCAGCAUUCCAGUAACUCUUAAUUACGUUUAAAAAGCUUUGUGAGACUGUACAGGUCUACGCUUGCUGGUCUGAGCAUGCACAGUUCAUGACAGACCAGUGUUUGUAAACAAAAGCGCCAGCUUUUGACAGUGGGGACGCCAAAUAACAAAACACCGGUUCAGGCGUUUCUAGUAUUACCGUCCAUUGGUACGUGUCAACGUGUGGUUUUCAGGUUUUAUAAGUUUUCUAAAAUACAGAUAAUGAAAAUUUGAAUUCAUCUAUGUUUUUCUAUUUGAAAUACAGGUAACUCUUGAUUUACGCGAGUUUGUUUUACGCGUUUUUGAAAUAACGCGGGGUCCAAAAUCUAAAUAAAUGUUUAAUUUACAAGUUUUUUUCCACUUACACGCGAUAUUUUAUGGAGUGGCCACCAUGUCUCACGCAACUGGACUCAAACGGCGCCGCGGCCACACAGCUAAGCUCAGUUCUUUCUGCGCGCCACUUGAACAACAAUACAGUACCCACGCUGCCACGCUACUCACGAUAGGUAUGGGCAGGUAACGGUACCAGUACCGGUACUAGACUGCUCGGUACCGGUACCAAUACUAGCCAGGCGCUCAUGCUGUCCCUCAUUUCUUUCUCAGACGAGUGAGGCUGAGACUGAGUGCCUGAUUGGAUAUGUCGGUGAUAUGGAUAUUCUCUCUCUCUCUCUCUCUCUCUCUCUCUCUCUCUCUCUCUCUCUCUCUCUCUCUCUCUCUCUCUCUCUC